rnacentral:rRNA from 1 species
UACAGAGGUCCCAAGCGUUGUUCGGAUUCAUUGGGCGUAAAGGGUGUGUAGGUGGCGCCGUAAGUCGGGUGUGAAAUCUCGGGGCUUAACUCCGAAACUGCAUUCGAUACUGCGGUGCUUGAGGACUGGAGAGGAGACUGGAAUUCAUGGUGUAGCAGUGAAAUGCGUAGAUAUCAGGAGGAACACCGGUGGCGAAGGCGGCUACCUGGACAGAAACUGACGCUGAGGCACGAAAGCUAGGGGAGCAAACAGG